UACGAAGGGUGCAAGCGUUACUCGGAAUUACUGGGCGUAAAGCGUGCGUAGGUGGUUCGUUAAGUCUGUCGUGAAAGCCCCGGGCUCAACCUGGGAAUGGCGAUGGAUACUGGCGAGCUAGAGUGCGGUAGAGGAGAGUGGAAUUCCCGGUGUAGCAGUGAAAUGCGUAGAGAUCGGGAGGAACAUCAGUUGCGAAGGCGGCUCUCUGGAACCAGCACUGGACACUGAGGCACGAAAGCGUGGGAGCAAAGCAGG
rnacentral:rRNA from 1 species